UGCAGAGAACUUUCCAGAGAUGGAUGGUGCCUUCGGGAACUCUGACACAGGUGCUGCAUGGCUGUCGUCAGCUCGUGUCGUGAGAUGUUGGGUUAAGUCCCGUAACGAGCGCAACCCUUGUCCUUAGUUACCAGCACGUUAUGGUGGGCACUCUAAGGAGACUGCCGGUGACAAACCGGAGGAAGGUGGGGAUGACGUCAAGUCAUCAUGGCCCUUGCGGCCUGGGCUACACACGUGCUACAAUGGUCGGUACAAAGGGUUGCCAAGCCGCGAGGUGGAGCUAAUCCCAUAAAACCGAUCGUAGUCCGGAUCGCAGUCUGCAACUCGACUGCGUGAAGUCGGAAUCGCUAGUAAUCGUGAAUCAGAAUGUCACGGUGAAUACGUUCCCGGGCCUU
rnacentral:rRNA from 1 species